rnacentral:rRNA from 1 species
AUUGAACGCUGGCGGCAGGCUUAACACAUGCAAGUCGAGCGGAGAUGAGGUGCUUGCACCUUAUCUUAGCGGCGGACGGGUGAGUAAUGCUUAGGAAUCUGCCUAUUAGUGGGGGACAACAUUCCGAAAGGAAUGCUAAUACCGCAUACGCCCUACGGGGGAAAGCAGGGGAGCUUCGGACCUUGCGCUAAUAGAUGAGCCUAAGUCGGAUUAGCUAGUUGGUGGGGUAAAGGCCUACCAAGGCGACGAUCUGGAGCGGGUCUGAGAGGAUGAUCCGCCACACUGGGACUGAGACACGGCCCAGACUCCUACGGGAGGCAGCAGUGGGGAAUAUUGGACAAUGGGCGGAAGCCUGAUCCAGCCAUGCCGCGUGUGUGAAGAAGGCCUUUUGGUUGUAAAGCACUUUAAGCGAGGAGGAGGCUACCUGGAUUAAUACUCUAGGAUAGUGGACGUUACUCGCAGAAUAAGCACCGGCUAACUCUGUGCCAGCAGCCGCAGUAAGAC